GGGCCCGCACAAGCGGUGGAGCAUGUGGUUUAAUUCGAUGCAACGCGAAAAACCUUACCUACCCUUGACAUAGUCAGAACUUACCAGAGAUGGUUCGGUGCCGAAAGGAACUGACAUACAGGUGCUGCAUGGCUGUCGUCAGCUCGUGUCGUGAGAUGUUGGGUUAAGUCCCGUAACGAGCGCAACCCUUAUCCUUAGUUGCCAGCGAUUUGGUCGGGGACUCUAAGGAGACUGCCGGUGAUAAACCGGAGGAAGGCGGGGACGACGUCAAGUCAUCAUGGCCCUUACGGGUAGGGCUACACACGUGCUACAAUGGCAGGUACAGAGGGCAGCGAAGCGGUGACGUGGAGCGAAUCUCAGAAAGCCUGUCGUAGUCCGGAUUGCAGUCUGCAACUCGACUGCAUGAAGUCGGAAUCGCUAGUAAUCG
rnacentral:rRNA from 1 species